rnacentral:sRNA from 1 species
UCGUCCAUUGCCCGACGUCCCUGCCAGGACGG